ensembl:lncRNA
CCAGGCCGAGGGGCGGGGGCGUCCCCGGGCCCUGGCGCGGCGCCUGGAGCUCCUGCUGCUGGAAGCGCCAUGUGACCGUGACUCUGCACAAGCCGGGAACGCGGAGAAACAAAGGGCGGCUCAGCGGCCACCGGGCGCUCAGGCUGGCACGGAGGGCCCGGCCCCAACCCCAACCGGGGCCCCGCACUCUUGUCCCUACGGACCCUCGGUGCCCAGGGCGAGCAGGGAGGCGCCGGAUCCUGCUGAGGCCCGGGGCGGGGAGCGCGGCCUCCCAGGGAGCUGGGGAGGGAGGGCAGGCCUGAGGACGCUGAAAUGCAAGUGCGAGGCGGGGUGGGCGAUGUCGGGUCCGGGCUGGGCCGUGGAGUGUUGCAGGUUCCUUCCUCACGGCUGGCUCUGGCAAAUGACCCUCCCUGAACCUCUGUUUCUGUAAUAGAGGUGAAGAUAAUCGUCCCCACGCAAUUAUCCUAGGGUUAGGAGGCUUAAGGGAGGCGUCCCAUGUAGAGCGGUGAGGACAGCACAGGGUUGUCGGGCCGCAUUCUAGCUCCUCUCCCACAUAAACAUGCACAGGAUUUCGGGUCACUGAGCUGCCACUUUCCAGUCACAGCAGGGAUGUAGUUCCGGCCAGAGCACCAGGAAGAGGAGCAGGAUGGGGCAGCUGGCACAGGGCGGAGCCAGGGUGGGCACCGCUGCGUAUAUGGAGAGGGGAUUAGCACUGGGGCUCUAGCAGAAGCGGGGAGAUAGGAAAUCCCAAGACAGCCUGGUUAUCCGGCCCUGGCUCUCUCCCGGCCCUGGAUGGGAGUGGCUUGUCUCCUAGUCACUUUCCCCAGCCCAGGGGGAACAAAGGGGCUGGAGAGGGUGGGGGCCCACCUUGGAGUGGGCCUCAGGGUACAUUGAGACUCCUGCCUCCGCACCAGAUUUGCAGGUUUGACUUCUCCUGAGGAAGCCUCCACCCUAUGGCCACAAGGCCCUAGGGCCUGUAUUUACAGAGUUCUGAAUUUACCUGGCCCUAAAACCACGUGGCCUGUGCAUGCAUAAUAGAGGCCACAGCACAGAGCUCUUGAGGUAGUGGCCCAGUGGGGACUCUGGGCUUGGUCCCAGCUGGGGGACUGACGUUAAGGAUCUAGCCUCCGUUCCUUCCCUGCCUGGGGAAAAAGAGAAGAGGAGCAGUCCAGGCACUGGCGACAGCCUGUAAUAAGAGGCCCUGAGUGCCACCAAGAGCAUGGUUGGAGAGUGACUCAGCCUCGUUGGUGCCUCCUCAGCAUGCAGGACAGGACCAACUGCUGCUACUGCCCACUAUUGUGUAUCCAGGACCUGGAAUACGAUUAGCCCUAGCUAAUCACCAACUGGGGGAUCAAGUGCUGGAGAAAUGCCAUUUGGUGAAGAAGCCCAUGGAUUGCCAAGAGUGGUUUGCCUGUCUCCAAUGGCCCGGAAGGACCUAUAGGGUGAAGUGUGAGAAUCGGUACUUCAAGAAUCCUCCUCAAAUACGAAGGAUGUGAGAGGAGCCAGCCGCUACCUGCCUACCGCAGUCUGCUCAGCGUGGACUGGCUCCACUUCCUGCUUCCUCAUUCUGCUCAAGGUGUCACCAUGCUUACGGUCGAGGACACCGAUCUGGGCCCGGGAUCUCACCUGACUCUCUCCAGGCUCCCCAAGGACCAAAGCUCUAUUGUGGGAUCAAGGCCCCAUCUGCCUUCCUGGAGUUCCAACCAUGGCCUGCUGCCAAGUCCUGCUCCCCACCACCCUCCAUUGCCUUGUUCCCCCUGGAUUUCCACCACAGGUAACGGUGUGAAGUCAGGGUGAACUUAAUUGGGGUGAAGGAUGACUGCUGCAUUAAAUUGGAUGGAACUGGUCUGUUCAACCACUGCCCAUUAAAAAUGGUGGCCUUUCUUUAACAUAGCCAUAAUGAGACCAUCCCUCCAGAGAAAAGUGCUAAUAGAAUCACCCGCCUUGAAUGCUUAACUCUUACUCAAUGCCUUGACCUGGACGUCUGAUAGACAUGGCCCACAUACUAUCUAAAAUCAAACCUUUUCUUCCCCCCAAACCUGCUCAUUCCACAGCGUUCCCUAGCUCAGUAAAAGACUACAUGGCACCUUCGUUCUUUCAGUGCUCAGACCAAAACCAGUUUAAGGUCUCCUUUGAUGUGUUUCCUUUACUCACACUCUACAGUAAAUAUAUCAGUAAAUCCUUCAUUGGCUCUACCUUCAAAAUAUAUCCACCACUUCCCCUGCUGCCACUGUUCCUAGCCACUGAAGUCUUGACCAUGACCUCCCAGGCUCCAUGUCAUCUGGCCCACUGCCACCUCCCUGGUCUCAUCUCCUGCCACUCUGCCUACUUUGCUCCUGCUGCACUGGCCUUCUUGCUGGUCCUCAGGCACCACAGCCCACUCUUGCCUCGAGGCCUUUGCCCUGCUGUCCUCUCACUUGGAAUUUUCUCCCCGGGCACUCACAAUGCUGGCUUUCUCAUUUUCUUGUGGUCCCUGCCCAGAUGUCACUUCCUCAGUGAGACCUCCAGACCACCCUAUUUAAGGUAAACCCUCCCACAUUCAAUACUCCCACACGCUAGAUCCCUCUUUGCGUUUUUUUUGUUGUUGUACUUAUCACGACUUGGCAUAUCAUCUGUG